rnacentral:tRNA from 2 species
GGGCGAGUGGCGGAAUCGGUAGACGCGCUAGACUCAAAAUCUGGUUCUCGCAAGGGAGUGAGGGUUCAAGUCCCUCCUCGCCCACCA